AUAAUACCUGUAAUAAAGAGAUUAAUGUCCCAUGUUUAGUAUCCCACUGAUCAUCUCUCCCCGCUGCAGUUUUCAACACACAUGAAUGUGCAGCCUGAACCAAGAGCCUGAACUAAUUCUGGGAAAGUUUGAUACGAUGUUUCAUUGAAAUGCUUCACUAAAGUUCAGAUGUAUGGCAAUCCCUUCAGCCACUAAUUCUGUUACUUCAUCAAAAG